AGUGUGAGCUGCUGCGUGGACGCACGAGAGCACGUGGAAGUCACGUCGAGAGUUUUUGACGACUAAACAAACAAAAAAGGACUAGUUUUCAUUUUUGGGGGGGUGUCUUUGUUCACACAAGGCGACGGAUGAGAAGUUCCAGUGUCACGGAUUCCGAGUUUCCAGGAUGUGUGGACGACACGAGUCGCACUGGACAAACAAUGGCGCGCGAUUCUUUCGUCAGCGCAACUCAAGCGUGGAGCCGCUGACCUACACAAAGUGCACUUAUCGAUUAUUUUGUUGAAAGCCCUACAAAAAUGGCUGGACGUCCUAGCCUAGGGGAACGUGCCCCGCUAGCGGCACCUUACGAAGUUUGGAGAUGGCGGAGGACCGUUAAAGGGAGACAUGCUCAAGUUGACGCUCAGACGAUCAAGAAUUGUCAUGCAAAACUCAUCGCUACAGGAUCUGUGGCUGAUACUCGAAGAACAGGUCGCCCUUCCAAUUGCAGUGACCCAGAGGUCGUGGAAGUUGUUCAAGGGAUGUUUACUCAUAGCCCGAAAAAGUCAAUUGGACAAGCAGCAAGGGAAAGUGGACCCUCCUUUCACCGUGUAGGAACCGCGCUCAAAAAGGAGCCUAAAUGGCGUGCUCGGAAGCCGCACUGCUGUCAAGCGCUCUCUGCUGAAGAUCGCGACAUUCGUAUGGAGUUUGGGGAGGCGAUGAUGGCUUAGUAUGAAGAUUGGUCGGAUCUCUUUUGAAAAUAUCCUCUGGAGCGAUGAAGCGGUGGGUUUGUGAGCCGUCGCAACGUAUUACCUCUGAAAAAAAAUGCGCCAUCGUCCCAAGGUAACGGUAUGGUGUGGAAUGACUUGGGACAGGAUUGUGGGUCCCUUCAUCCUUCGGGAUACCGUGAACGCCGUAAGGUACCUCACCACGCUGAGAGAUGAAAUCUGGCCAGUUAUCAGUCCUUGGGAGAAUAUUGAAGAUUUAAUUUUCGUGCAAGAUGGCGCUCCCCCACAUUUUGCCAUCGUUGUUCGUGAAUGGCUGAAUGCCCACUUCCCUAGGAGAUGGAUUGGUCGCCGUGGUCCGUAUGAGUGGCCGGCCAGAAGUCCUGACUUAACGCCCUGCAACUUUUUUUCUGUGGGGUUGGUUAAAAGGUUCUACCAAACCAACGACUUUGGAAGAACUUGAAGGGCGAAUACGAGAAGUUAUGUCUUCCAUCCCACCAGAGUUCCUUGUGAAAUCAGUUAAUGCCGUUCCCAGCCGGCUUGAGAAACUGGUGGCUAACGCUGGCGCCCAUAUCCAAUUUGAAAUAAAACUCCAUGCAAUACA